CUACGGGUUGCACCAGUGGGGAAUAUUGCACAAUGGAGGAAACUCUGAUGCAGCAACGCCGCGUGGAGGAUGACACUUUUCGGAGCGUAAACUCCUUUUAUAUAGGAAGAAGAUGACGGUACUAUAUGAAUAAGCGCCGGCUAACUCCGUGCCAGCAGCCGCGGUAAUACGGAGGGCGCAAGCGUUACUCGGAAUCACUGGGCGUAAAGAGCGUGUAGGCGGAUUAAAAAGUCAGAAGUGAAAUCCUAUAGCUUAACUAUAGAACUGCUUCUGAAACUCUUAAUCUAGAAUAUGGGAGAGGUAGAUGGAAUUUCUGGUGUAGGGGUAAAAUCCGUAGAGAUCAGAAGGAAUACCGAUUGCGAAGGCGAUCUACUAGAACAUUAUUGACGCUGAGACGCGAAGGUGUGGGUAUCAAACAGGAUUAGAUACCCCCGUAGUC
rnacentral:rRNA from 1 species